GCCAAUGGCACUGCCCGGUAGCUAAAUGCGGAAGAGAUAAGUGCUGAAAGCAUCUAAGCACGAAACUUGCCCCGAGAUGAGUUCUCCCUGAGACUUUAGGUCUCCUGAAGGAACGUUGAAGACGACGACGUUGAUAGGCCGGGUGUGUAAGCGCAGCGAUGCGUUGAGCUAACCGGUACUAAUGAACCGUGAGGCUUAACCUUACAACGCCGAAG
rnacentral:rRNA from 1 species